UACGUAGGGUGCAAGCGUUGUCCGGAAUUAUUGGGCGUAAAGAGCUCGUAGGCGGUCUGUCGCGUCGGCUGUGAAAACUCGGGGCUCAACCCCGAGCCUGCAGUCGAUACGGGCAGACUAGAGUGCUGUAGGGGAGACUGGAAUUCCUGGUGUAGCGGUGAAAUGCGCAGAUAUCAGGAGGACACCGGUGGCGAAGGCGGGUCUCUGGGCAUGUCCUGACGGCUGAGGAGCGAAAGUGUGGGGAGCGAACAGG
rnacentral:rRNA from 1 species